GCCCACCAAAAGCUCACUCUUUCCCCCAACUGCUACCCGACCCACCAUCCAAAACAUUUGCCCAAGCCAGUAGAUGCGAUCGAACUCCGCCCAUCGACGCAAUAUAAAAAGUACUGUGAAGGAACAAUGAAAAAUUAAUGAAAUCGUUAGCACGAAUAAAGCAGGGAUCAACACUCGUACCUUUUGCAUUAUGGUCUAGCAAGUUAAAGCCAGGCAAAGUGACCUACAGCCUCCCAUCCCGAACACAAGUGAUCUACUUCACGGCAGUUGAAUCGAACGAACUCAUCUCUGUCGCAAUAGAGUGAGAAGACCUGAAAGUAGCGGCCAAAAACCAAUCGAACUUGUCGAUAGCUGGUUAUCCGACAAAUGAAUCUAAGUUCACACCCAACAAAACAUCUUAACUCCUGAUAAAGCUUUCUGUUUGGGAACUAGUCAAUGGGGGUACAGCCCCAUUGACACUGGAUACAGCCAAAAAUAGAGAGCAACUCCCCACCCAUUUAACCCGUAGGCCCUUAAACAGCCACCAAUAAAUAUCGCGUCACAGUAACUUACUCAAAAAACCACAAAAAUAAAAUCCUCCUAUCCCCUCCCCGGAUAAUUCUACACACAUGUAGAAGAACUUCUGCUAGAAUAAGUAAUUUGAACUCUUUCUAAAGACAGAGCCUUAAGAACACACAUACCCAACAGACCAAAAAAGGAACCAUGACACCUAAUCCAACAACACAUAAAACACACUGUCUACCCAACACAGGACUGUCCACCCAAGGGCCUAAAGCCCUAAAAGGAACUCGGCAAACCCCUUCUCCAACUGUUUACCAAAAACAUAGCUUCUAGCCAACCCAGUAUUAGAAGUCCCGCCUGCCCUGUGGAAACCCUAAACGGCCACGGCACUAAAACCGUGCAAAGGUAGCACAAUCACUUGCCCCUUAAAUAGGGGCCCGUAUGAAAGGCAGCAUGAGAGAAGACCUGUCUCCUAGGGCCAGCCAAUGAAAUUGAACUACCAGUACAAAAGCUGGUAUUCACAAGCAAGACAAAAAGACCCUGUGGAACUUUAACAAAUUGUUUAAACAAAUUGAACAAUAGUUUCAGUUGGGAAAACUUUAGAAAAAAUAAACUUCUUAAAUACCACAGACCAACAAGCCUAUAGCCAUCAAACCAUGACCCAGUUUUACUGAUUAACGAAACAAGCUACCCCAGGGAUAACAGCGCUACCUUCUCAAAGAGUCCUUAUCAACAAGAAGAUCUACGACCUCGAUGUUGGAUCAGGGUAUCCAGACGGUGCAGCAGCUGUCAAAGGUUCGUUUGUUCAACGACUAAGACCCUACGUGAUCUGAGUUCAGACCGGAGCAAUCCAGGUCGGCCUUUAUCUGCUGUAUGAGCCUCUACCAGUACGAAAGGACCCUAGAGACAAGAAUAAUGCCAACAGCACAUCUUUAAAAAGUAAUGAAUAAAACUGAAAUAAUGAAAAUACAACCCGACCCUAAACAAGGACCCACAUAGCUAGCGCACUAGCGCUAC
rnacentral:rRNA from 1 species